rnacentral:lncRNA from 1 species
CCCGCCCGCAGCGCGGAGCCUCGGGGGGCGCCGCAGGGGGGACGGGGCGAGGGGAGGGAGCCCUCUACCCCCGAAUGGGCGACGCAGGAGUCCAUCCUCCCAAGAACUUUCAGCGCCACCCCGCGUGUGCACGGACGCACCCAGGUGGUAGACGCCGACCUCCGGACGGAUGCCCUGUGACAUCCCCCGGCGGGGCUGGUCUGCCUCCCGCUCCGCACCUUCGAUCCGCCGCGGAGCCCUGCCUUCCAGAAUGGUCUCUCCUCUCGGGGACUAACGGUUGCGUGUCAAGCCCCUCCGGCCACAGACUGUUACUCCUGAGCUUCCUGUUAGCAUGUAUAGGAUCGUCUCCUUUUUCAUCGAAACGCACGCUCGUCACCCUACUGCUAGCCUUAACCUACAAUGAUUCCAUUUCAGCUGCCCUUGCCUGUGGGGAAAGCUUCCUGAACGUUGUUAUCUCAUUGCAAGCGAGGAGUCCGCUCCUUUAUGCAAAACGUUUAAAAGCCCUCUGGAUGAAGACAGCAAGUGUCCUGCCAAAUACAUUCUUCUAA